rnacentral:rRNA from 1 species
GACGAACGCUGGCGGCGUGCCUAAUACAUGCAAGUAGAACGCUGAAGGAGGAGCUUGCUUCUCCGGAUGAGUUGCGAACGGGUGAGUAACGCGUAGGUAACCUGCCUGGUAGCGGGGGAUAACUAUUGGAAACGAUAGCUAAUACCGCAUAACAGUAGAUAUUGCAUGAUAUCUGCUUGAAAGGUGCAAUUGCAUCACUACCAGAUGGACCUGCGUUGUAUUAGCUAGUUGGUGAGGUAACGGCUCACCAAGGCGACGAUACAUAGCCGACCUGAGAGGGUGAUCGGCCACACUGGGACUGAGGCACGGCCCAGACUCCUACGGGAGGCAGCAGUAGGGAAUCUUCGGCAAUGGACGGAAGUCUGACCGAGCAACGCCGCGGGAGUGAAGAAGGUUUUCGGAUCGUAAAGCUCUGUUGUAAGAGAAGAACGAGUGUGAGAGUGGAAAGUUCACACUGUGACGGUAUCUUACCAGAAAGGGACGGCUAACUACGUG